AGUCCUGUGACGCAGUGGUAGCGUGUCGUUCUUAUAUUGUACUCCGACUGGAUACAGUAUGGCCUCACUGAGGGAUGCGAAAGCCGCGAGUUCGAACCUCGCCAGGACUA